UCAAAAUUUUCCAUUUAAGACUACCGUUAUUCACUACUAAAAUUUGACAAAUUGUAAAACAAAUCAUUUUCUUUUUAUUUACCUUUUUUCUCUAAAAAAUUAAUAAUUGCUAUGAAUUGCUCCAAAUUAAUUUUUUUCUACUGCUCCUGGAUUUUUCUGACAUAGAAAAGCAAGGAGCUAUUUGCAGACCAUAGUAUAUAAACUGUAUAAUUGUGAAUAUUUCAACUUUAGUUAUUUGUACACAUUAUCUAUAUACUUGUAUAAUUAGUCUUCUUGUUUAAUUAAUACACAGGGUAAGACUAAUUAUUAAUGCUUUCUCCUCUGUUAUUGCAUUUACAUGUAUGUGUAUUAGAAUCUCUUUCAUUUUUCUACUGAUUUUAUCUGUGGCUUAUGAUGUUAUUAUAAUAUGAAACUGAAUAAUUUCAGUGAUUUCUUUACAAGAUUUUUAGAGGUUAUAUUACUUUUAGCCUCCCUAUUUCAAUUUAUAAAAUUUCACUUUACUAAUACCGAAAAAAUUAUUUGAGGUCACAAGAAUUAUUCCUAGUUCUGAAGCAGAGAACCAAAUUGUCACAACACUAUUUGUUAAAACAAGGUUGUUAUUUCCUUCUUUGUACAAAAAGCAAAUCACAGUUGAGAAAAUCAAGUGUCUUCUUCAAUGGAAAUGUCCAUGUAUAUAUUCAAAUUGAUUGUGGUCUUUUGUUGAACAUAGCACAUAUGUUAUUGUUAAAAGAAAAUGUGAUUUGUUCUACAGUUACAAAUUAAAUGUCACUGUAAAUGUC
rnacentral:sRNA from 1 species